rnacentral:rRNA from 1 species
UACAGAGGUCUCAAGCGUUGUUCGGAUUCAUUGGGCGUAAAGGGUGCGUAGGCGGCGCGGUAAGUCGGGUGUGAAAUCUCGGAGCUUAACUCCGAAACUGCAUUCGAUACUGCCGUGCUUGAGGACUGGAGAGGAGACUGGAAUUUACGGUGUAGCGGUGAAAUGCGCAGAUAUCGGGAGGAACACCGGUGGCGAAGGAGGUUCUCUGGGCCUGACCUGACGCUGAGGAGCGAAAGCGUGGGGAGCGAACAGG